GAUCACACCAUUUUUAAAGCACUGAUGAGUCUACUGGGGAAAACUGGUAUUGAUUUUGGUGUUCUCUGCAGAAAAUUUCCUAUCUUAAUAUUUCUUUGCGAAAGAUACUUGAACUUCUCCUACACCUGGAACACUGAUUUUUUUUUUUCAGCACCACAUGCAUUCCGACAAGAUUCAUUAGCUCACACAUUGUAGAUGUGAACAAAUUUGCAGCAUCAUUAUUAAUUUUUUUGACUAGGCUAAUAACAGAUAUUUGUGAUGAAGUAUUUCAUAAAAAAAGGGGCCCAAGGAAUUGACAAACUCUCAUCAUUAUUGCCCCCAUUUUCUGGAAUGAAGGUUGUGACUUUAUAUAUUAAUCAAUGCUCUAACCUUAAGGCUCAGUGAACCUUUUCCUGAAUAUUUACUAUGCACAUCUCAUAUUUGUUGGCAAUUUGAAAGUUUAGUAAAAGCCAGACUUUUGCCUUGAGUGAUUCAAAUUUAUGAGGAAGUGCUUACCUGGAACAACUGCUAGUUAUGAAGUGUACAUG
rnacentral:misc_RNA from 1 species